rnacentral:lncRNA from 1 species
CUUUGUCAUUUGAAUAGGUAUUUGUUCUCAUAUUACAUUUCAUUAAUCUUGCUAGUAGUAGUACUACAGCUGGUUUAUUACAAAUGCAAAAGGUAACUGUUAUCCAGUAUUGUUUUUUCACUGACAUCUGUUCCUGUAAAUUAUUAAAUUGUUCAGAUCAAUUUUGUUUUGGAGGACCCAGACAUUUUGUACAAAUUGAUGAAAGCUGUAUUUCUAAGAGAAACACAACCAUGGUCAAGUCAUUCCUAGUUCAGAAAAAUGGGUCCUUGGAAUGUGUGAUUGCCAGUUAAAAAGAGGAUUUGUUAUUUAUCUUUAAAAUUGUACUGCUGAUGUCAUAAUUCAAAAGAUUGUACAUCAUCAAGCCAGAAACUGAAAUUUGGAGAGAUAUAUUUGCUUCAUAUUCUUCAAUGUCCCCAAUAAAUUGGGGACAUUGGGAGAUGUUUCUCCAUACAUUCGUCACACUGUGAAUCAUUCACAAAAUUUUGCUAAUCCUGUAAUGGGAGUGUGUACAAAUGCAGUAGAAAGUUAUUGGUCUUGACUGAAGACAUUUCUUCGUUGUUUGGUAGUUAUACAAUCAAUACAUCUUCCAAAAUACAUAGGCAUUUUGUGAUAUCAAACCUUUAAAGACCCAAGUGUUUCUUUACUCGGGUCUUUAAAGAUUUCCAAAAGACCCAAGCGAGUUUGUUUCCAAAAUUUUUAGAACAUUUGAAAGAAAAAUAUCGUGUGUAGUCAUUCUGUAGCAUUAUACAAACCUAUUACUUGAAGGUCUUAUUUACAUCAAAAAAGGCCAUUUUCAUGGCCAUGAAAGCCAUGGCUAUAAAAAGGUUGUUUUCAUGACCAUUUCCUCCUUCAAAUCCUGUAUACUGCCUCAUUGUGGCAAAGGGGUGUUCCUGUGUUUAAUGUUCAUAGAUAUAAUUAAAUCAAUGACUUAUUGUUAGUAUUUUAUUUUAUCCAGCUAAAGUAUACAGAUUAAUAUAAUUUAUCAAAAUAGCACAUGAAAGAAGCAUUAACUAAUGAACAAUCAUUAGAUAUUGAAUUAUAUUGAAAC